rnacentral:rRNA from 1 species
GAUUAAGUUAUUAAGGGCGCACGGUGGAUGCCUUGGCACUAGAAGCCGAUGAAGGACGUUACUAACGACGAUAUGCUUUGGGGAGCUGUAAGUAAGCUUUGAUCCAGAGAUUUCCGAAUGGGGAAACCCAGCAUGAGUUAUGUCAUGUUAUCGAUAUGUGAAUACAUAGCAUAUCAGAAGGCACACCCGGAGAACUGAAACAUCUUAGUACCCGGAGGAAGAGAAAGAAAAUUCGAUUCCCUUAGUAGCGGCGAGCGAAACGGGAAGAGCCCAAACCAACAAGCUUGCUUGUUGGGGUUGUAGGACACUCUAUACGGAGUUACAAAGGACGACAUUAGACGAAUCAUCUGGAAAGAUGAAUCAAAGAAGGUAAUAAUCCUGUAGUCGAAAAUGUUGUCUCUCUUGAGUGGAUCCUGAGUACGACGGAGCACGUGAAAUUCCGUCGGAAUCUGGGAGGACCAUCUCCUAAGGCUAAAUACUCUCUAGUGACCGAUAGUGAACCAGUACCGUGAGGGAAAGGUGAAAAGCACCCCGGAAGGGGAGUGAAAUAGAACCUGAAACCGUGUGCUUACAAGUAGUCAGAGCCCGUUAAUGGGUGAUGGCGUGCCUUUUGUAGAAUGAACCGGCGAGUUACGAUUUGAUGCAAGGUUAAGCAGUAAAUGUGGAGCCGUAGCGAAAGCGAGUCUGAAUAGGGCGUUUAGUAUUUGGUCGUAGACCCGAAACCAGGUGAUCUACCCUUGGUCAGGUUGAAGUUCAGGUAACACUGAAUGGAGGACCGAACCGACUUACGUUGAAAAGUGAGCGGAUGAACUGAGGGUAGCGGAGAAAUUCCAAUCGAACCUGGAGAUAGCUGGUUCUCUCCG